rnacentral:rRNA from 1 species
AACGAACGCUGGCGGCAUGCCUAACACAUGCAAGUCGAACGAUACCUUCGGGUCUAGUGGCGCACGUGUGCGUAACGCGUGGGAACCUGCCCUUAGGUUCGUAAUAACUCCCCGAAAGGGGUGCUAAUACCGGAUAAUGUCUUCGGACCAAAGAUUUAUCGCCUUUGGAUGUGCCCGCGUUGGAUUAGCUAGUUGGUAGGGUAAAAGCCUACCAAGGCGACGAUCCAUAGCUGGUCUGAGAGGAUGAUCAGCCACACUGGGACUGAGACACGGCCCAGACUACUACGGGAGGCAGCAGUGGGGAAUAUUGGACAAUGGGCGAAAGCCUGAUCCAGCAAUGCCGCGUGAGUGAUGAAGGCCUUAGGGUUGUAAAGCUAUUUUACCCGGGAGGAUAAUGAAAGUACCGGGAGAAUAAGCGCCGGCUAACUCCGUG